rnacentral:tRNA from 1 species
GGAGGGGUGGUGCAUACCUGGCAUGCAAGAGGUCCUGGGUUCAAUUCCCAGCACCUCCG